rnacentral:rRNA from 1 species
AGUUCGGAGAGUUUGAUCUUGGCUCAGGACGAACGCUGACGGUGUGCUUUAGGCAUGCAAGUCGAACGAGAAAGCCCUUCGGGGUGAGUAAAGUGGCGAACGGGUGAGUAACACGUGGGCAACCUG